rnacentral:sRNA from 1 species
CUCUCUUCCUGUCUUUGUGGCUCCGGAAAGGCGUUUGGGAUGCCAACGAUGAGGCUGCUGUCAUUUGUGGUGUUGGCUCUAUUUGCUGUCACUCAAGCAGAGGAAGGAGCCAGGCUUUUGGCUUCCAAAUCACUGCUGAACAGAUACGCCGUGGAGGGACGAGACCUGACCUUGCAGUACAACAUCUACAAUGUUGGCUCAAGUGCUGCAUUAGACGUGGAACUAUCUGAUGAUUCCUUCCCUCCAGAAGACUUUGGCAUUGUGUCUGGAAUGCUCAAUGUCAAAUGGGACCGGAUUGCCCCGUAUCCUCUUGGCACUUGGUGAUGAAGGGUCGGGGGGCAGGGAGAGCCUUGCCUGCAAAGCAGCAGGGGUACUUCAAAUAGGCUGGAUAUGUGUGGCUGUCCUCCUGUCAUCUCUCUGGAUAAGAUGGAGCAAGAGAGAUUGGCUCUACCAGUGCACCUGGACAGGGAGGAAUCCUGGCUCAGCGGGAGUUUGACAGGCGAUUCUCCCCUCAUUUUCUGGACUGGGCAGCCUUUGGGGUCAUGACCCUUCCCUCCAUCGGCAUCCCCCUGCUAUUGUGGUACUCCAGCAAGAGGAAAUAUGACACUCCCAAAACGAAGAAGAACUGAUUGGGGCUUCCACAGCCCUCCUCUCCCAAGAAAUCCAGGCUCCUCUCCCAAGAAAUCCAGGUGCUUUCCAGACUCCAAAGAGUAUCUUAAAUGCAAUCUCUUCUCUCUUAGCCCUUGGCCACUUUCUCCUGGAUCCUGCCCUGCUCUCAGCCAUAGUGAAGGACCAGGCCUAGGAGUCUGCGAGAGCCUCCUUGGUUCCAUCGUGAAGCCAUAAACAGGAAUGCCUUUGGCAAUAGCCUUGAGCCUAGAGGGCCCUCUGAUGCCCCACUGAGGUGCUGUUGGUUUAUUGCUGGCAAUGUGAAUUCUCUCAGGGGUCUAGGAGGGGCAUUUUGGAGACUGCCUGACACCACCCCUAUCCCCUGCCUCCCCCUCUCAGAAGAGGGUGGAAGAUGAAAUGAAAGCUAUGGGACU